AUAAUUUCCGCGCGGAGCGGAAUUUUUCUUUGUCUUUUCUAAUUAGUUCCUAACCGGAGACAAGACAAAGAAAAAUUCCGGUCCGCGCGCAAAAUUCCGUAUAUC